GAGUCUCUUUCUUUUUUUUUCCAUUCUCAAAAUGGACACAAGGUUUCAUUUGCAGAAAAUGGAAAUGAUGAAGCUCUUUCUGAAAGAAAAACAAAAACCAAGCCCAACCUAACAAAACCCAACCCAACCAACCAAAGAAAGUAACAAUGCAACAGACAAGCUUAACAGCAGCGUGGCAAACAGCUUAUUUACAACUCGUAAAAUGUUGAGAUUGGUCAUACUUGAAAGUGAGAACGUGAUUAACUAGAAGAAUCCUUAACCACAGUGCCAUGACUGAGCUUGUCUUUGAAGACAGAAGAGUCCUGAGACAACAUGCAGUUAAUUAGCAUGCCUAGCUGGCCUGCAGGUAGGGAGAUGAGCCCUAUCUUUAACUGACUGGUUGUAGGCUGGAGGCUGUAUCAGAGAAGUGGUCAGGAGAUGAAAGUAUGUAUUAAAAAGCACUGUGAAAACCUUAGUUUGUGCUAGCACGGUGGGAGACAACCUAAAACUGAAACUUGCGCAGCUUUGCAAUAAAUCAGUAUCUCUUUGUGCACACCAGGUGAUGAAACUGCCUUUGGGAGAGCACUAAUUGGAUACAACAGUGGUACAGUGAGGGAUAAAGCUUUUAGAAAAUUAUUUUUCAUGGUGAUGUUACUGCUUUCUACGUGGAUUUUCAAAAUAAGUAAGCAGGCUUGGUGUAGCUCAUGUGACUGCAUUUCCCCAGACUUCAUAUCCAGUCCUUUCCACAUAAGAAACGCUGUGUUACAACGGCUGGUGUGGGUGUUGAUAAGUGCAUCAAUGUGACUGUCUGGAGCAAGUCUGCCUGUCCUGUGAGGCUGGACAGACCAGCAGAAUGAAAAGGAAGACAAUGUUUAGUGAAUGGUAUGCAUGUAUUGUGAAAUAUACAGGUCAGUGAGGUAAUCGUGCCUGUUCAGUUGUAGGUGGCUGCUGCUUCCUGCAACUUGGUUGUAAUGGCUGCACAUGCAUCUUCUUUCUUUCUCGUUUUGCUGUUCUGUGCUAAUUUCUCUGAUAUUCAUUAUGCUAUAGCAAAAGUUUUGUGUAAGGUAGCGUCCUCUUACAGUGUUCAAAAGUACUGAGGUCAUCUCAAACAUUGCGGAAGUGGGAGCUGGACCUGGAUAGAUGCACAGAGCUCACUGUUCCAGAAAUGCUGGCAGUAUCUUCCAUCAGUUGCCAGGAAUGAGGACGACUUGCAGAGCUGCCAGCUCAGUCCGGUUGGAGGGCUCGUGGCUACCACAGCUCUCAAGUUCCGGUUAUUAGUUUCUCCUUUAACUUCUGGAAAAUAACAACAGAUGGAUUACUUGUUUAGAACACACAAGGAAGCCAACAGUAGAGCAGAGCCAACUGUUCUGGUAUACUAAUCAUUCCCUAAUGAUCCAUUAGUCCUGCGACUGAUGUGGCUUUGUGUUGUCGAGCAGGAAAUUACAAAACACAGUCCAACAUAUGAGUGGUGGAGCUUUCUUGCCGUCUGUUCUGGAGCGCAGAGGCCAGGAUUUCCCCAAACAUUUUUUGUUUAAACAAAAUAUAAUUACAAAAUUAAACAGUUGAGCUUAAAAUGAAUAUUUUCUGUAUGUUCUCUGAGAGAGAAGGAAACAAGGGUAAUUCAAAAUGUGAUAAUAAAAUUAGAUUUAAAUCAAUUUUUCAAAAAUACCCGAAUGUGUUAGAAGGUUAUUUCUCAUUUUCAAAAGUGAUGUAUAUAUAUAUUCCAGUACUCUAAAAUAUUCCAGUUAAGGGACUAUCUGCAUGUUUAGGUGUCCACACAAAUCUGAAAGUCAGUGAUGCUACUUUAACAUUUGUUGAAAGACUGUAUGACUGAUAUUUUCUGACAGAAGGUUGUUUUCUAUCAGAACUCAGACAUUUUUUGGAAGCAUGUCCCUGUCUCAGAAUUCUUGUUUAGAUGGAAGCCCAUUGAAAUAAAAUAUCCCAUUGGCUUUCUAUUUUGAUGUUUAAAGAACAAAGUGCUUUGACUUUUGCUUCAAAACAAACAAUGCUUUUCUUUUUUGAAAAGCCGUAUUUUCUUUACUAAGAAGGUUGAAAGGAAUUUAAAUGAGUUGAUAACAUUUUAAUUAGCCUAAAAGAAAAUCUUAGUCUACCAAAAAUGAAAUUUCGUCUGCAGUAUUAGUUACAAAUGGGGCUCAGAUUUCUUCUCUGAACUGCAUAAAGAUUUCAGAUUCAUUUUGCUUUCUGUAAAACUGAAAAGUCUAGUUCUCCUCUCAGUCAAUGU
ensembl:lncRNA